rnacentral:rRNA from 1 species
GGUUAAGCGACUAAGCGUACACGGUGGAUGCCUAGGCAGUCAGAGGCGAUGAAGGGCGUGCUAAUCUGCGAAAAGCGUCGGUAAGCUGAUAUGAAGCGUUAUAACCGACGAUACCCGAAUGGGGAAACCCAGUGCAAUACGUUGCACUAUCGUUAGAUGAAUACAUAGUCUAACGAGGCGAACCGGGGGAACUGAAACAUCUAAGUACCCCGAGGAAAAGAAAUCAACCGAGAUUCCCCCAGUAGCGGCGAGCGAACGGGGAGGAGCCCAGAGUCUGAAUCAGUUUGUGUGUUAGUGGAAGCGUCUGGAAAGUCGCACGGUACAGGGUGAUAGUCCCGUACACCAAAAUGCACAGGCUGUGAACUCGAUGAGUAGGGCGGGACACGUGACAUCCUGUCUGAAUAUGGGGGGACCAUCCUCCAAGGCUAAAUACUCCUGACUGACCGAUAGUGAACCAGUACCGUGAGGGAAAGGCGAAAAGAACCCCGGCGAGGGGAGUGAAAUAGAACCUGAAACCGUGUACGUACAAGCAGUGGGAGCACCUUCGUGGUGUGACUGCGUACCUUUUGUAUAAUGGGUCAGCGACUUAUAUUUUGUAGCAAGGUUAACCGAAUAGGGGAGCCGUAGGGAAACCGAGUCUUAACUGGGCGUCUAGUUGCAAGGUAUAGACCCGAAACCCGGUGAUCUAGCCAUGGGCAGGUUGAAGGUUGGGUAACACUAACUGGAGGACCGAACCGACUAAUGUUGAAAAAUUAGCGGAUGACUUGUGGCUGGGGGUGAAAGGCCAAUCAAACCGGGAGAUAGCUGGUUCUCCCCGAAAGCUAUUUAGGUAGCGCCUCGUGAACUCAUCUUCGGGGGUAGAGCACUGUUUCGGCUAGGGGGCCAUCCCGGCUUACCAAACCGAUGCAAACUCCGAAUACCGAAGAAUGUUAUCACGGGAGACACACGGCGGGUGCUAACGUCCGUCGUGAAGAGGGAAACAACCCAGACCGCCAGCUAAGGUCCCAAAGUCAUGGUUAAGUGGGAAACGAUGUGGGAAGGCACAGACAGCCAGGAUGUUGGCUUAGAAGCAGCCAUCAUUUAAAGAAAGCGUAAUAGCUCACUGGUCGAGUCGGCCUGCGCGGAAGAUGUAACGGGGCUAAACCAUGCACCGAAGCUGCGGCAGCGACACUUAGGUGUUGUUGGGUAGGGGAGCGUUCUGUAAGCCGUUGAAGGUGACCUGUGAGGGUUGCUGGAGGUAUCAGAAGUGCGAAUGCUGACAUAAGUAACGAUAAUGCGGGUGAAAAACCCGCACGCCGGAAGACCAAGGGUUCCUGUCCAACGUUAAUCGGGGCAGGGUGAGUCGACCCCUAAGGCGAGGCUGAAAAGCGUAGUCGAUGGGAAACAGGUUAAUAUUCCUGUACUUGGUGUUACUGCGAAGGGGGGGACGGAGAAGGCUAGGCUGGCCGGGCGACGGUUGUCCCGGUUUAAGCGUGUAGGGGGAGUGACCAGGUAAAUCCGGUUGCUUAUCAACCCUGAGGCGUGAUGACGAUGCACCACGGUGCAGAAGCAGUUGAUGCCAUGCUUCCAGGAAAAGCCUCUAAGCAUCAGGUAACAUUAAAUCGUACCCCAAACCGACACAGGUGGUCAGGUAGAGAAUACUCAGGCGCUUGAGAGAACUCGGGUGAAGGAACUAGGCAAAAUGGUGCCGUAACUUCGGGAGAAGGCACGCUGGCGUUAGGUGAAAGGACUAGCUCCUGGAGCUGAAGCCAGUCGCAGAUACCAGCUGGCUGCAACUGUUUAAUAAAAACACAGCACUGUGCAAACACGAAAGUGGACGUAUACGGUGUGACGCCUGCCCGGUGCUGGAAGGUUAAUUGAUGGGGUCAGCCGCAAGGGGAAGCUCUUGAUCGAAGCCCCAGUAAACGGCGGCCGUAACUAUAACGGUCCUAAGGUAGCGAAAUUCCUUGUCGGGUAAGUUCCGACCUGCACGAAUGGCGUAAUGAUGGCCAGGCUGUCUCCACCCGAGACUCAGUGAAAUUGAACUCGCUGUGAAGAUGCAGUGUACCCGCGGCAAGACGGAAAGACCCCGUGAACCUUUACUAUAGCUUGACACUGAACAUUGAGCCUUGAUGUGUAGGAUAGGUGGGAGGCCUUGAAGUGUGGACGCCAGUCUGCAUGGAGCCAACCUUGAAAUACCACCCUUUAAUGUUUGAUGUUCUAACUCGGCCCCAUGAUCUGGGGUGAGGACAGUGUCUGGUGGGUAGUUUGACUGGGGCGGUCUCCUCCCAAAGAGUAACGGAGGAGCACGAAGGUUAGCUAAUCACGGUCGGACAUCGUGAGGUUAGUGCAAAGGCAUAAGCUAGCUUGACUGCGAGAGUGACGGCUCGAGCAGGUACGAAAGUAGGUCUUAGUGAUCCGGUGGUUCUGAAUGGAAGGGCCAUCGCUCAACGGAUAAAAGGUACUCCGGGGAUAACAGGCUGAUACCGCCCAAGAGUUCAUAUCGACGGCGGUGUUUGGCACCUCGAUGUCGGCUCAUCACAUCCUGGGGCUGAAGUAGGUCCCAAGGGUAUGGCUGUUCGCCAUUUAAAGUGGUACGCGAGCUGGGUUUAGAACGUCGUGAGACAGUUCGGUCCCUAUCUGCCGUGGGCGUUGGAAGAUUGAGAGGGGCUGCUCCUAGUACGAGAGGACCGGAGUGGACGAAUCACUGGUGUUCGGGUUGUCAUGCCAAUGGCAUUGCCCGGUAGCUAAAUUCGGAAGAGAUAACCGCUGAAAGCAUCUAAGCGGGAAACUUGCCUCGAGAUGAGUCUUCCCUGGGGCUUAAAGCCCCCUGAAGGAACGUUAAAGACUAUGACGUUGAUAGGCUGGGUGUGUAAGUGCAGCGAUGUAUUGAGCUAACCAGUACUAAUGAUCCGUGAGGCUUAACCUU